CUUUAGCGUUUAGUUUUGCUUUGUUUUAUCGACGCGCCGCCACUCUAUUGCGUUUCAAUUCCAUUCAUUUCGUGCGACAAGUUGGCAGGUACUAACAAAAGGCAGCCAUUAUGCUUCGCUAAAUUAUAUUUAUGGGGUGAAAUUUUCCCAUGGUUAUACAUGUCUGAACAGGUAACAAUGGGCAAACCCUUGAAAAGGAUAUAUCUUACCUAAAGUCUAGAAUGUUCUGAACUGGUUUCUGCAACCCCUAACGGAUGCAGCUGUUAAAUAUCGGGAUAAACGUAGGGAGGCAUUUGCAAUCGUUUCUACGCGUUGUCUGGCUGCUGCCUGCGCAGCUAUAAAUACAGUGCCAUUCUCGCUUGUUCCAUCAUUUCUCAUCGGAAAUUCGUGCUGUUCGGACGUGUGAAUAAAGUCAUAAGUUCUUAGUUUUUCUGGAAAGUUACAUAACCCAGAUAGUGUGAAAUAAGAGAAGCAGCACGUUGGUCAACCACUCAAGCAGCAGCAAAGUUUUCCUGCUCCUCGAUACGUUAAUGGCAACGAUGAGGAGGAACGGAACAACUCUUGACAAACAACAAAAACAACAACCACAGAGCAAGCAACAUCUUCAUCAACAUCGCCUGUCGAAAUCGAAACAGAUUCGAAAUUGCCGAUGUGCAAUGCAGUGCUAUCGAUAGCCAAGCGAAAUCAUCAACAAUCUUUUCAAGAUUUUUUGUUUUGUAUAACAACAAACAAACACACACUGAGUGAGUCUUCACGUCUGUCCGUCUUCUAUCUACAUUCGCAACCACAGCCAAUCACAGCCGAAACCACAAAAGGCAACGGCAAAGGCAGCGCAAGUUUCCUACACAGUCCGACGCCGCGCCGAAGCAGCGACGCGCAGCUUAGCAGCGAGCAGAGCGGCAGCAGCAGCAGCAGCGCGCAGCAGCAAAACACCACCGAGUCUCCUUUGCACAAAAUCGAAAAUGCCAGAUGCCAGAGCCUGACACGAUACUGAACAAUCAUAAAUGGGGACAAGGCGGGGAAUUGCGCGCAGCGGCAGCAGCAGCAGCAGCUUUAGCUCAACAGCAGCAAAAACGUGUGUGUGUGUGUGCGUGCGUGUGAGCUUUAUUUGCCUACUACUACUAGCAAGCAACCAACCAAUCAACUACCACCACCACCACCACAACUAUCACCACCUACUACUCUACAUACAGCGCGCUUAGCAGUUGCUCUGACGCCAACCUUCAACCAACCACCCACCAUCCACACACGAUAUUUCUACAUUCAACACACACGGUAUUCGUAUAUCAGCUGCGAACGCAACAACAAAUUGCUUUUUCAAAUAGAUUUACAGCAUUCAAAAGGAGGAAACAUACAACGAAACAGCAGUAGCAACAAAAACGUCACAGUUGAAUGUGCCUGUGACGCAACGGAAUUUUUCACUCACAACUACGCAGUAGUUUUUCAUCAUCGUCGUCGUUGUCGUCAUCAUCAACCUUCGUCUUUGUCAUCGUAUUGCGGCCCCACUCGCUCUACUUGAAUUCGCUUUACUUUACUCUACACUGGUUUUUGGCACGUAAGCCUAAUGGGAUUUUGCUCGUUAAUUAACACUUGAAUUGCAGAGACAGUUGCGACCAAGCAGUGCAGCAAGAAGUGCGAAUGGAGUCUUCACGCCUGCUGCUAUUCUUUAUCUUCUCUAUCAAACAAAAACAAAACCUAUGUCUUUUAGCGAUGCGAUUGCAGUUGAGCGGUUCCUGCACGCAUAUCUUGUGAACUAAGAAAUUGACUGACGAUCUGACGAUCAAAGAGGUCUAGGCAAUAACAUGGGAUCACUGAGAGUACUCAGAGGAAGAAGUUUGAAAUAUUCUUUAUAAUCUCAUCCCUAUCGUUAAGUACAGCCCAAAUGUAAGGGCUUCCUCCUCCAAUCUUUUUGUAGCGAUGCGUCACAGUUGAACAGUGCCUGUGAGCAUCAUCUUGGAAGGCAAAUAAUCGGCAAUAACAUUCGGAAGAUGACAGAGAGAGUGGUUCUACGUUAACCCAGAAAUCUGAAACUGAACUGAACUCAAUCAGCACGUAAAACCCCUAUGUAGUUUAGGACAACGACAAUUUUUCGUUUUUAAUUUUUUUUUAGCGAUGCGACGCAGUUGAACGGUGCCUGCGUGCAUCCGCAAGCAAAUUGUGAGAAAGAUGAUGAGAGAAGGGGUCUAGAGAAAGAGAACCGAUGUCAGCCAGCCAGCCAGUAUUAGUCCUUGCAAAUAUUUGCGCAGUACAAGAGGCAGACCUGACUCUUUCAGCUACAAACUCUGGCAAAAGCGUAAAUCGUUUUCUCAUACUCUUAACUCGAACAAAAUGCCGCUUUUGUUUCUCAUAUUCUCUUUUAGCACGUUGCUAGAGCCUUACGAAUAAUGAAUUCCGAAAUGGACUAAAUCCAUGACAACUACUACCAUGAACUAUUCAGAUAGCGACAAUACAAAUACCUGGAGAACGUAAAUUUUUACAUAUUUCUACUCCUCAAUUUGGAUAUUCUAUUUUGUUGUAGAUAACGAAAACGAUACAGAUACAAAUAACUAAACUAGACAUCUAUCGAUGUGUGAAACCAGCAAGGAUAUAGAUGGGCAAUAUUUUCUGAAGAUGAAAUCCUAUUCUUAUGGAGACAACAUCAGCGUAAUUUAUUCGCUUUGCCAAAGAACAAAAUUGUUUUGUUUUUUUUUUCUUCGUAUUUUUAUAGCAAUAUGACGCAGUUGAACGGUACCUGCGCAUAUUGGGAAAAUGAAAUCGAAUUGAUAAAUCCCCAAAAAGAGAAAUUAGGCAGCGAGAAAAAGAGAGGAAGCGCCGUCUAUCUAUGAAUGGGCCCCGAAACAAUUUCAUGUAAAUUAUUACGCAAUUAUUCUUUUGAGCCAAAGAAUCGUUUUGUGUGUUUUUCUUUCUUCGUAUCUUGUAGCGAAUAUAUAUGACCGCAGUUGAAUGUGCCUGCGCAUAUCUGCAAGUAGGGCUAAAGAGCUAAAAGCGUCUUCGAAAGACUGAGAAGAGAUAUCAAGACUCGUCGCAAAUGUGGAAAAAAGAGGAAAACGUUUUCUACUCGCUUCUUAUUUCUUUGCUAACCCCUUCCCAGCAGCUUCUUUUCCAAAGGAUAUUCAAUUCUAUUGCAGUGCAGGAGAUGUUCGCCACACACAUAAUCAAUCAAACAAUUGAAUCAAUCCGCCCCGUGUACAUGUAGCAAAAUUUCUUGAGGCAAUGGGAAUCAAAUGCCAACUUGAAAGCAAUAUAAACACCACAACAACACUCGAAUCGAAUACCGAAACCGAACUUUGUGUCGAAACUUGUUAAGGUCAGGCAAUGAAUUCCAUUUGAAUUGCUUAAACCUGUUUUGCAGAGAAAACAAAAAGAGCAUGUGACGCUGACCCAAUUGAUGAUUGUCGAGAUCGCAUCCGGCACACAGCUGUUCAGCUGCUGCUAUCUCAGCCUCUGGAUUCGCGUGAGACAAUUGUUAGCCACAUAACUUUGCACUUUGCACUUGCGCCUUUUUGCAGCAUUAUCUCUCGACCGUUUAGCAGCGGAGAAGGAAGUGGAGAUGAGGCCUCCACUUAGCUUUCUUUCGCUCUGAGCCACACAUAAAUCGUUAAAGGGAAUCAAGAACGAGACAUCAAGUCCAUCCACUUUAUAGGGGGCGAACACCACUAUCACCACAACAACAACAACCACCAUUGCAACUCAACGUUAAGAGACUGCGACAAAGCGUCAUACGAAUUCCACAGAUCCUAAGUAGAUCUACUCGUCACAGUGUACAAAAACACUUAACGUUUUUACAUUACAGAGCAAAAACGUUAGCUGCUUGAAGCUGCAAACACUCGUCGACCACAGCUCGAUCGACUACAGCGCACUGUUCCAAGUCGCUAAUCCUCCAAUCCAAGCCAGGCUUAGCUCCAGUUCAGCUGCUGCAGGCAAAGCGAUACUCCACAAAGAGGGGAGAGACGUUUAUAUGGCCAGGACCUAUCCAGGGGCCAACCAAAUGCUGGCAACUCCAGCCAUACAACGCCAUACCAGGCGAUCCACUACGGCCAUACCAGGCCAACUGCUACCAAUUGAAAGCCACGUAAUGCAUUGCACCGCAUAUAAAAUAUAUGCGCUCGGUCCGCGCUAAAGGGAAACAAAUGCGUUUGGACCGAGACCCGCCACACCACACAAUCACCAGCACUCGCUGUCAGAGGCGAGCUGAUGUGUUGUCGUUGUUACCGGGCAGCUGCCUGCAAGUACGCUACGGGCAUCCAAGCGUCGUCGUCAUCGUCGUCGUCGUCGACAGUGUGUCUUCAGUCGUCAGUCUACUACUUGCCUAGAGAAGAGAUGAUGGAGAGGAGAGCGAGCAAGCACACCCUUCCACUGCGUUGUCUGUCUGCUGUGUGUGAGAUGCGUGUAUGUAAUUUGUAUGUAUGAUUUGCCUCGUUUUAUGUACCACACACAACAUCACACUAGUAUCUAGCUUAUGUAGCCUAUAUAUCCAUGUAUAUGGCGUUAGCACGCUAGCUAGAUCUGUUCCAAGACAGCUCGUGCCUCCGUCGUUUAUCGCAAAAGGGAACCAAAUGCGAUUAGUGUUCAAGCAUCCAUUGAAGAAGAAGACUCAGAGACAAGAAGUCAGCCAGAAGCAGCAGAAGACAAGACAAAUCCAAACGCAAUUCCGAGCAGCAGGCAGAGGCGGCAACGGAGCAGCCAGCCACGCAGGCAGAGCAGAGAGACAGAAAGCACAAAGAGGUUAGCGGAGUUCUAAUCAGCGCUGGUGGUGUUUUUUUUACAACGGGUUGUAAUCUUUUCAAUCAUUUGUGUAAAUUCCUCCUCUCACUUCCAUCCUUUAUAGCUUAGCAAAAACAAUCCGAAUCCCCUCUCCUCUCUAUAGCGAGCUCGAGACGCGGUUAACAGAAAUCCAUCGCAAAGGGAAUCAAAUGCGAUUAGUGUUCGAUGACGAUUUAAGAGGCUAGCUAGCUCCUCCCAGCGCCUUCCAUUGCUGUGGUGUUUGUAUGCUACGCUACGCUUCGCCAUUGCCAGUUGAGCGCUUAACUCCUGGUGCAACGUUCAACAUACCGCAAUAGGGAAUCAAUUGCGAGGUGGUACUGCAGCAGCGCCAAAACACACACACUACUACCGAGACAGAGAGUAAGAGAGAGUGAGAUCGAGAGCGAGCGAGACAGUUGAGUGACAGUGGGCCAGUUGAGCGACUUUACGCUCCUGGCAGUGGCAUCCCCAGUCCUAAGUGUCUAAAUCACAUAUCAAAAAAUCGUAAAGGGAACCCAAUACGAUAUACAGCAGAUGCAGCAUCAGCAGCAGGCAGGUGGCAGACAGGGAAUCCAAGCCCCAGCAGAGAGCGGAGGCAUUUCCGGCCCCGCGACAACAAGUUGCUCUCCAACGUCGUAAAUCCAUCGUCGUUCCUCCGUGUUGUUGUUGUUGGUGUAUGUACGCUUUUCUUCCUCCUCUUCCCCUUGCAGCCUAGAUGCAGAGCCAGGCAGUAAACGCAAUGGUGUGCGUGACAGAGAGACAGUUGUCGAUCGAUCGAUCAAGUUGAGAUCAUCGUCUGUGCCCCUCAUUCAACACGUCGUCGCCCAAGUUGUUCUCAAAGGGAAUCCAUGAGACACGCGCUACAUUCUACAAAUACUACUCUUCUACUUUCUUUUCUAUUUUUUUGUUUUUUUCUUUUUUUUUUAACUAUGUAUUUUACAGCAAUUUCUAUCUAUUUUAAUCUGGCUCCACAAAAUCUAGACUUCUGGCCCAUGUGGUGCCACUUAUUGUAUAAUGUCUUUGUGAAUGUACGAACAGCACGAUGUUGUUCUCCGAUUUAACAAAUUUUUGUAAAUGUGCGAGCCAGUUCUUCCCUUACCCCAAAACCAUUGUCCUCCCAUCUAAGUACUAUUGUAAAACAUUUGAGAUUGUAUAAUUAGUUAUUGUUAAAACUGUGACAUGUACAUGAUUCAUAUGAUGAGAAGAACCCGAAACACGGCUGGCAGAGCAGUCCGACCCCCCCCUUUUGGAUGAUGGUUCAUCCCAUACAGAAAGAGGCGAGAGGGCGAGCGAAAGCGAGGGAAUUGAAUGGCACUACUACUCUACUACCAACUCCAGUCCAGUCGAGUGCUUGUGCAAGGCGGGCCAUCUCGUAUGACAUUUUGAUGUCGUACUCUCAUCUGGGUGUCGUUUUCGACGCUCCUAGCUGGUGAUCGAUCUACAGGCAGCAGAGGCAAGCAGUGUAAAGGCGGGCAUCCGUUCAAUGGGGAUGGAUGCGCCCUGCGCUCCCUUCCACUCUACUACUUCAGAUGGAGAAUUGCCAUCAUGAAUCAUCUCGAGCUCUCUUGGGUGUUCUUCGACUUCGUCUGAUGUCGCAGCACUUGAAUUCCUCGUUGAUAUUCAAAAUGGUCCAUAUUCUUCCGUGUAUGUGUGUGAUGCUGUGGAAUCUGCUGAGAGAUCAUCUUCAUCCCUUUCGAAAUGGGUUUUCGACGCUUCACUUAACAAAACGAAGCUGUGCCACCAACACUGCAAAUUAAACUAAACUGAGCUGGAAGAAGAGAACACUUCGCUUGCUUUAUGUAGCAUCGCCACAUCCUUGUAACGUCUUCAUCUACUUCAUAUGGUUGAGCAGCUUUCCCGAAUUCGGAUACGGAUCAGGCGAGAUCCAGGGCGCAACAACUUCCACUACUAACAUAUUCAAGAGCAACCAACUAUGACCAACCAUCAUUAUUCUCAUCGACAUGCACUCACAAUAAGCACUCUUCAACUCUCUCAACCACCACGACUACCACUACUUGUUUCGCUGGGCCUAGGACACACAAUAUGCAGUGCGUAUACGUAAUACGCGAAAUGCGAUUGUUUUUCGUUCUCUAUUUUGACAUCUGGACGUGAGUGAGGCUGGCUCGUGAGGCACGAGCAGAGGACAACUGCAGACCGACCAAAUUCUGAAAACUCAAAUCAUCGCUUACAACUUCGCAUUGACAACACACCACACAUACUCUCGUAUUCCUCCCCUGCAGUUGGUGGGCAGCUCUUCUUCGAUAGGAUUUAGGAUUUUCGUUGAACGUAUUCAUCUUCCGUUUCUGAGUGGCGCUUAGGAUUGAAUGAAUGGGAAUUUCCUUGAAGGAUCUCGCUUAUUGUCGCAGUUUUGUCGCAACAUUUUUCGGUAACGCAUUUUCGCUUUGACGGCAGCGUGGGAUAACCAAGUAAGGACGGCAGCGUGGGAUACCUCGAAUUGACGGCAGCGUGGGACACCACUAAAAGUGGACGGCGGCGCUGGAUGCAAUACCAUAACCAUGGAGAUGAGACGGCAGCGAGGGAUUCGCAUGUUGCGCAACGUGGGAUUUAUAUUAGGGCUUCGGUUAGGCGAGGGCGCUAGGGACAACGCUUCUACUCUAUAGGCAUCGGCAACGUGGGAUACCGAAUCGACUGCGGCGAGGGAGAACCUAAAACCCCUCUGGACUGGAGCGGACCGGGCUGAUGGGACUGACGGCGAGGGAGAUCUAGCGGAUGGACGACUGCGGCGUGGGAAAUUCUCUUUUUGGGACAGCGGCGAGGGACCACACUUGACUGCGGCGUGGGAAUUCACUUGACGGCGGCGUGGGAGCACUUGGACUGCGGCGUGGGAGUUUCUGACGGCGGCGUGGGAUUUUACCGGACUGCGGCGCGGGAGCCUCAUCGGGUUUUUGUUUGCUUCGUUUCUUUGAUCAUCGUCGGUAUUCCUCCUACAAAGCAACAGACGGCAAGAAGCUAAUGCUGCAAAUGCUAUAAUAAUAAUCAUACGUUCAAAGCUGAUAUACCCUGAUAUACAUUCUAAAAUACCGUGUAUUGCGGACAUCUGGCAUCUAUGUAGAUUCAAAAUCAGAUUUGUUCGUAAUCGCCGUCUCCCAGUAUAUAUAUUUAAUUAACAUUGACAAUUCUCCACCGCACCCUUGACUUAACAACCCCCAUAAAUGGAGCCAAUCAUCAUUUCUGCAUUUACUCUAUAUAUCAAAUCUAUAUACGCUAUAUAUAUAUAAUAUAUAUGCGAUACGUUCCUGGAAUACCGGAAAGCAAGCCAUUUAAUACGAUGAUCAAGAUAAUCCCGUGAUCACUUGCGGAUUAUCUGCUGAAUAAAUGUUUUUUGAAAAAAUGAA